rnacentral:rRNA from 1 species
CCUACGGGUGGCUGCAGUGGGGAAUAUUGCGCAAUGGGCGAAAGCCUGACGCAGCGACGCCGCGUGAGGGAUGAAGGUUUUCGGAUCGUAAACCUCUGUCAGAAGGGAAGAAACCGCACCGUGCUAAUCAGCGGUGCAUUGACGGUACCUUCAAAGGAAGCACCGGCUAACUCCGUGCCAGCAGCCGCGGUAAUACGGAGGGUGCAAGCGUUAAUCGGAAUUACUGGGCGUAAAGCGCACGUAGGCUGCUUUGUAAGUCAGGGGUGAAAUCCCAC